UCUCUCUCUCUCUCUCUCUCUCUCUCUCUCUCUCUGUGUGUGUGUGUGUGAGAGAGAGAGAGAGAGAGAGAGAGAGAGAGAGAGAGA